rnacentral:rRNA from 1 species
UACGUAGGGUGCAAGCGUUGUCCGGAAUUAUUGGGCGUAAAGAGCUCGUAGGCGGUUUGUCGCGUCUGCUGUGAAAACUCGGGGCUCAACUCCGAGCUUGCAGUGGGUACGGGCAGACUAGAGUGCGGUAGGGGAGACUGGAAUUCCUGGUGUAGCGGUGGAAUGCGCAGAUAUCAGGAAGAACACCCGUGGCUAAGGCGGCUCUCUAGUACGGUACUGACGCUGAGACGCGAAAGCGUGGGGAGCGAACAGG